GACGAACGCUGGCGGCGUGCCUAACACAUGCAAGUCGAACGAAAAGGCGCGGAGCUUGCUCGUCUGACGAUAGGGGAACGGGGGUGUAACACGCGUGUAAACCGUCCCUGUAUGAGUGGGAUAAUCACGAGAAAGCGGAGAAUAUCCCAUAUGACCUCUUGCUGCACGGUGGGGAACGGUGAGAGUCGGUCGUUGGGGAUGGACUAGCGGGUUAUCGGCUUGAUGGGGGAGUAGUGGCUUACCAGGGCUUCGAGGGGUAGCCGGCCUGGGAGGGUGGGCGGCCACCUUGGGCCUGAGGUGCGGCCCAGACUCGUACGGGACGCAGCAGUGGGGAAUCUUGCAGAAUGGGCGGAGGGCUGGUGCAGCAGCGCCGCGUGCGGGAUGACGGCCUUCGGGUUGUAAACCAAUUUCGCCUGUGACGAAGCGUGAGUGACGGUAAUGGGUAAAGAAGCACCGGCUAACUACGUG
rnacentral:rRNA from 1 species